AUUGAACGCUGGCGGCAUGCUUUACACAUGCAAGUCGAACGGUAACAGGCCGCAAGGUGCUGACGAGUGGCGAACGGGUGAGUAAUGCAUCGGAACGUGCCCAGUCGUGGGGGAUAACGCAGCGAAAGCUGUGCUAAUACCGCAUACGAUCUGCGGAUGAAAGCGGGGGACCUUCGGGCCUCGCGCGAUUGGAGCGGCCGAUGUCAGAUUAGGUAGUUGGUGGGGUAAAGGCUCACCAAGCCAACGAUCUGUAGCUGGUCUGAGAGGACGACCAGCCACACUGGGACUGAGACACGGCCCAGACUCCUACGGGAGGCAGCAGUGGGGAAUUUUGGACAAUGGGCGCAAGCCUGAUCCAGCAAUGCCGCGUGCAGGAAGAAGGCCUUCGGGUUGUAAACUGCUUUUGUACGGAGCGAAAAGGCUCCCUCUAAUACAGGGGGCUCAUGACGGUACCGUAGGAAUAAGCACCGGCUAACUACGUGCCAGCCGCCGCAGUAACAC
rnacentral:rRNA from 1 species